UGCUGUACAUUUCUUUUUCCUGAAACCUGCAUAAUCUUCCACAAGAGAAAAGAAAAUAUCAUUCUAGUGCCAUGGUUCUCAUUUCAGGACCUCCAAAGAGAAACAGAUCAUACUGCCAAUGGAAUGUACAGAAACUACAAUUUUCACUCAGGAUCACAUGUAGAUUGCUCAACAAGCUAUUGGAUUACUAAGUUUGGAUUGCUUUUAGUAAUAGUAUGUUACUUUAGUAAAAUAUGCAUUUCUUUUGAAAUACACCGACAUCAGGUCUGGCAGUGAAUCAAUAGUGGCAAAAAGAAAGAGUUAUUCUAGAAGAAGGCACACAAGUAACUGCCAAAAUUGGUAAGAUGCAAUUAUCUAAACGAUUCGUCAUGCACCAAAGAUUUACCAUCCAGGAUAGAUUCAUUCAUCAUAUGCAAGAAAUGGAAUUAGAUGAUAAUCUGUUUAAAAAGUAAUCCACACCAUCACUCUCUGCAACAAUUCAACAAGAAACACAAAGGUUUAGUGGUUCGGCAGUUGGUUACUGAAUAACUUAUUACAUUGCAAUCCCAACUUUUUAACUUAAGGAGAACUAAGUUUUGCACAUCGGAUUAUACCUUCAAUAAAACUUAAGAAACAGAAAAGAACAGCCAUUUCUAUGAUUUCCUAAUAGUAGAGUAAUUGAGUUAAAAACACUCUGACAACAGAUUGAAGAACAUCUUAGAGAAUGGCUAUAGAGGCCGGGAACCAAUUACGAGUACAAAGAAAACCUGGUUGGGAUGUUUCUGGGAACACAUUGAUACAUAGUAGAAAGGUUUCCCGCUUGCGGCCAUGCAUCACUGACUCAUUAUAACAAGUAAAACAUUAUUCCUUCUUCUGGUGUAGAUAUCUUUUCAUCCUAGUAUUUCUCCAUACUGGCUGCAUUGGUUAUGCUAAAAGAGAUUCUCAAAUAAAUGCAAAGUAUUACUUUUAAGACAUUCUUUGAUCCUUGGGUUUCCAAUUACAUAUUUCUCAUCUGUAAUUAUCCCUGUGCUACAUGAAUUUUGAUUUCUUAAUACAAUCAGCCUAAAUGGCAGACUUCUGUCUCGGAAGCAGUAUGUCAGGGCAAACUAUUGCAAUUGAACUAGAGAAAAUAAAGAAAGAUGCUUAUUUUAUUGUUGAUGUGACUCCAAUGUGUCGACUUGUCAUUAGAUAAAAGGCAGGCUGCUUGUCAGAAUUCACCAUUCUGGAUGGUGUUCUUGGAGAUUUGAAAAACCCAUGUGAAUCGAGAAAUAAAUAAAUUGGACAUGCAAUUGGGACCAGACAGGUUUCUUGGACGCUUUCCAACUCCGGAUCCAACGUAAAAAAUUUAAUUGAAUAAUAGAGGUGGGUUGGGUUAGGAAAGACCUCAAAUUCGAUGGAAAAUAACAGUUCUAGAUGCUUUUCUUGGGGAUUUUAUCCAAAUCUUUAAAUCUCAGAGAAAAUUAAGGUAAAUGGAGAGAAAAUGGAACUUACAGUCGGAGUGGACCAGAGAAGGGUUUUGGAUGCUUUCCGGUUCUUGAUCUCUCGCCAUCUCCCGCCACGUCGAUCUCUCCGCCGUNNN
rnacentral:lncRNA from 1 species